GAUCGGAUUCCUGAUUUCUCGCGAGACGCCUUAAGUCGAGGUCCCUUUGAUAUUUAGUUAAUUUGACGAAGGUUAGAACGAGAAGAAUCACAUUCCCAAUAAGAAGCAAUCCGAUUGUUUUAUUAUCUACUUGAAAUUAAUGAUUUUAUGGGGUAAUGAUAUAGAAGUGAAUGAAGAUUGACAUUAGUGAUACUUCAUGGAAGCUUUUCUUUCUUGAUAUUUUUUUAGACAAGAGGCUGACUUCUCCGAUCUUAUAUUUAAAAGAGUAUUAACACAGUAAGAGGUUAAUUGAAACACAUGGAUGUUGAAUUGGAAUUCAAAUCAAAUUGUUGUAAAUUAAAAUUGCUGAUGAUAUUAUUGUUGUUUCAUAAAAUUGCCAAGUGGUGUCUUAAACAAUGGUCGUCUGUAGACCAAUAUUUAUUAUACUAAUAUUUCUUUCCAGUUGUUAUCGUCGUUUUGAAUGAUUUAAAUUGAUACGUCUUGUGUUAAAUAGGUCACCAAUGAUUUAUGUUUCGUUCCUCGAAAGUAUGUGAAUAAAAAUAACAGUGACAACUAGUCUUUUUUAGAGUGCCAAAAUUAAGUGAAAACAGGGACCACGAUAUUAUUAAUGUUAAAUAUAUGUGAUAUGUUUUUGAUAGUUAAACUGUUCGCUCGUGUGCGCGAUAUGCAGUGAAAUUCGAGUCCAACUCCACUUACAUUUGAAGGAACAACUUUUCUUGGAGUUUGGUUUUACGUAAGUCGCCGGUAUCAUCGGACUGAGAUCCAUAAUCAUUGACACGAGGAUAAGUAUCACCGAGGGACCCCAGCACCAUAACGAGUACCAAAAGAAUAACAUUCUGGGUUUCAUUCUUCUGUAUGUUCCACGAUCCACGUAGACACGCACCAAUGACCACAUUUCUAUGCACAUCGCAUUUAGCCAGAAGAAGCACGCGACGAAGGAGAACUGGAUGACGAAUGCUGGAAAAGCCAAUUGCUUUUUAAUUGUUCAUUUAAAAUCUCAAACCAGCACUGGUUUUUCUUCCAAAAGAAUUACAUGUUACAUCAGAUCAUUUUAUGGUAUCCCGUAAAUCGCGCUAUGUAUGGUAACGUACGUAUAGAGUACAGUAGGACUCGAUUUAUCUUUAACUUAUUAGGAAAUGAACAGCUCUGACGAUUUAGUAGUUCAGGUGAAAAUAAUAAGAGAUCGUAAAAUAAUUAUAAUAAGAGGUAAUUAGGUAAACGUAUUCGGUCGAAAAAAGUUCGUUAAAUCGAAUAGUAAAAGUAUUGGCAGAUACGCUUAUUUUUCGAUGAAAUGUUUUUUUAUCAGGUUUUACAUUAUUACAUUUUAGAUUACAUUUAAAUGCUGUAAUAAAUUUUGGAGACAUUGCACUUUGAUCCAAUAAACGGGGUUCUACUGUACUAUGUUUGGACAAGAAUAACAUUGUUUCUAAUGUUUUUUAUCAGAUUGAAUAUUUCAUCUUACCUAUACUGGUACAAGCUUGAUCCGACAACUCCAUAGUCCAUAACUGUGUAAUUGCUAACAUCGUAAAAGCCAACGCUAAGGAUCCGCAAUAACGGCACAACGCUCUUCCAAAAAUAUCUCGCAAAUUUGGUGUGAUGGAAUACGCUGCGAUG